rnacentral:rRNA from 1 species
UACGGAGGGUGCAAGCGUUAAUCGGAAUUACUGGGCGUAAAGCGCACGCAGGCGGUCUGUCAAGUCGGAUGUGAAAUCCCCGGGCUCAACCUGGGAACUGCAUUCGAAACUGGCAGGCUUGAGUCUCGUAGAGGGGGGUAGAAUUCCAGGUGUAGCGGUGAAAUGCGUAGAGAUCUGGAGGAAUACCGGUGGCGAAGGCGGCCCCCUGGACGAAGACUGACGCUCAGGUGCGAAAGCGUGGGGAGCAAACAGGAUUAGAUACCCUGGUAGUCCACGCCGUAAACGAUGUCUAUUUGGAGGUUGUGCCCUUGAGGCGUGGCUUCCGGAGCUAACGCGUUAAAUAGACCGCCUGGGGAGUACGGCCGCAAGGUUAAA